CAGCCAUCUGUAACGCUGGUCUCAGGGGAUUUGAUGCCCUUUUCUGGCUUCUGAUUGCAUUACAUAUACACAGUGCAUAAACACACAUGCAGGCAAAAGAAAUGAAUAAAUGAAAUUUAUCAAGGUUUUUCAGUAACAGAAAAAUGGCUGUUCUGUGUAUUGUUUUUUAAUUAAUUAAUUAAUUAAUUUUAUGUAUGUAAGUACCCUAUCUGCAUGUAUACCUACAUGCCAGAAGAGGGCAUCAGCUCACCCUAUAGAUGGUUGUGAGCCACCAUGUGGUUGCUGGGGAUUGAACUCAGAACCUCUGAAAGAACAGACAGUGCUCUUAACUUCCAAGCCAUCUCUUCAGCCCCCCGUGUAUUGUUUUAAAAGUAGUUUUCCCCUCAGUACAUUAAAGGCUUCAGUUUGGCUUUCUAGCAUAACAUCCAGUGUGGUUCUUAAAACAUAAACCUUUGUUUAAAAAACCAAACAACCUACAUGUCAGCCUUAAAAAGAAGAGAAAAGGGGGGAUUAAGAAGGGAAA
rnacentral:lncRNA from 1 species